UUUCUUCUUCUCUGUCUCCUUCCUCCUCAUUCAUUUCAAAAGCAUCAAUUAACCAAACAAAGUAACCUUUCCUCUUGUACCCACUCUCAUGUAGGUUUCCUCUUACAAAGGUCAUAACUCGCUACUCUUAACUCACCGUGACUCGUCCCUAAUGGCUAGUAACAACAACAACCCUCAUGAGAAUCUUUCCGACCAAACACCUUCCGAUGACUUCUUCGAGCAAAUCCUCGGCCUCCCUAACUUCUCAGCCUCUUCAUCCGACGGUGGGUUAGGCGGAGGAGGAGGAGGAGCACCGCCGAUGAUGCUCCAGCUGGGCUCCGGCGAGGAAGUAGGCCACAUGGGUGGUGGGCUAGGAGGAAGUGGUGGGUUUCACAACCAGAUGUUUCCUCUAGGGUUGAGUCUUGAACAAGGCAAAGGACAAGGCUUUCUUAGACCCGAAGGUGGUAGUCUUGGAACUGGGAAACGUUUCUCUGAUGACGUCAUGAAACCUGUUUUUCAUGGGCAGCCAAUGCAACAACAGCCAGCACCAGCGGCGCCGCAUCAGCCUACUUCGAUCCGUCCUAGGGUUCGAGCUAGGCGUGGUCAGGCUACUGACCCACAUAGCAUAGCUGAAAGGCUUCGUAGAGAAAGAAUAGCUGAACGGAUCAGGGCGCUGCAAGAGCUUGUGCCUACUGUUAACAAGACAGAUAGAGCUGCUAUGAUUGAUGAGAUUGUGGACUAUGUAAAGUUUCUCAGGCUCCAAGUUAAGGUUUUGAGCAUGAGUCGUCUUGGUGGAGCCGGUGCAGUUGCUCCACUUGUUACUGAUAUGCCUUUGUCAUCAACAGUUGAGGAUGAAUCUGGUGAAGGUGGAAGGGCACCACAACCCGCGUGGGAGAAAUGGUCUAACGAUGGCACAGAACGUCAAGUGGCUAAACUGAUGGAAGAGAAUGUUGGAGCAGCGAUGCAGCUUCUUCAAUCUAAGGCGCUUUGUAUGAUGCCAAUCUCAUUAGCUAUGGCUAUUUACCAUUCUCAGCCUCCAGAUACAUCUUCUGUGGUUAAGCCUGAGACUAAUCCUCCUCCACCUUAGGAUUUUUUAGUGCAUGUGAGGGUUUGUACAGCAAUCCAACAUGGCUUUUUUGCUUUCUACUACUGAUAAGGGCUCUGUUGUCUUGCUGUUUCAUUUCCCUGACAGUCACUUGUUUGGUUUGAUUGAAAGGUGGACUUUGAUGAAAGCAACUUUAUGUUUUCCUGACUUUAGUGGGAGGUUGAGGAAGGGGUAUUUUAGUAGUAGUAGUAGUGAGUGUGUGGGACCUGAAGAAAAAUAAAGUAUUUGAAUAUUUUAACCGUUGUAUUAUUAUUUAUUGUAUGAUUUGGAGUGGUAUAAAUAACCAAAUGAUGUUGUUAGUCUU